rnacentral:rRNA from 1 species
UACCAGCACCCCGAGUGGUCGGGACGAUUAUUGGGCCUAAAGCAUCCGUAGCCGGUCAUGCAAGUCCUCCGUUAAAUCCACCUGCUUAACAGAUGGGCUGCGGAGGAUACUACAAGGCUAGGAGGCGGAAGAGGCAAGCGGUACUCAGUGGGUAGGGGUAAAAUCCUCUGAUCCAUUGAAGACCACCAGUGGCGAAGGCGGCUCACUGGCCCGGAACUGACGCUGAGGUGCGAAAGCAUGGGGAGCAAACAGG